UACGAGGGUGCGAGCGUUAAUCGGAAUUACUGGGCGUAAAGGGUGCGUAGGCGGUUAUUUAAGUUAGAUGUGAAAUCCCCGGGCUUAACCUGGGAAUUGCAUUUAAUACUGAAAGACUAGAGUAGAGUAGAGGGAAGUGGAAUUUCCGGUGUAGCGGUGAAAUGCGUAGAUAUCGGAAAGAACAUCAGUGGCGAAGGCGGCUUCCUGGACUCAUACUGACGCUGAGGCACGAAAGCAUGGGGAGCAAACAGG
rnacentral:rRNA from 1 species